UUAGGAGAGGAGGGUACGUGACCACGUCCACGUAAACAUCGUCUCUGUUGUUAAAAAGCGUUUUGAUUUAAUUUCACGCAGCAAUUUCAGUAUAAUUGUGUUUUUUUAAGAAGUUUAACACCCAAUACCCAACUACAAGUGUGGACAAGCCAAUUAAGUGUAUUAAAAGUGAUAAGAUACAUCAACAAAAUUUUCUAGAGAAAAACGGAGCGAAAGUUACAAACUAGUGUGUAUAUUAUUAAACAGUGAGUAUUUGGUUAAACAAGUGCAUAUAUUGGUAUUCACUAGUGGUAUAUAUUUAAAAGAGAACUGUGACUUACAUGCAAAAGUGAUUUUAAAUAUAAUUAAGUUAAUUAUUAUUCUGAAUGACUUGCAAAUUCUUACAUACUUUUAUUGCCUACGGCGUCAUCUAGCAAAAACACUCGUUACUAGCUUGUUCGCAGAGUGAUCGAACCGAUUAACGAUAAUUCAAAGCGAGCUUGAUAUACAUACUACUAGAGGGCGCUGAUUAGAACUUUAUAUUUCACAGUAAUUUUCACAUAAUAUAUUUGCUAUGGAUACCCAUCAAAAUUGCGCUGGAUGCCAAAACAACCAACCUAGAAGAGAAUUUUUAAAAUGCUCUAAGUAUAAGAGUGAAUAAUAAUAAUAAUAAUAAUCUUUAUUUGCAUUCGAAUAAGGGAGAAGGGCGGCUGAAAACCAGCGCUGCUUGGAGUAAUGUACGCCGAGCAACAGAAGCUGAGCCGCUACCUUUUGUUUUCAUUUUAAUUUGUAAUCUGUAGUAUGUAAGUUAUUCUGUAAUUUUUUUCUUUGAAAACAAUAAAUGUGAUUUUAUUUUA